AUUGAACGCUGGCGGCAGGCCUAACACAUGCAAGUCGAGCGGAGCGGCGGCCGGGUGAGUACUGCCUAGGAAUCUGCCUGUUAGUGGUGGAUACCGUCCGGAAACGGGCGCUAAUCCCGCAUACUAUCAGAUGAGCCUAGUUCGGAUUAGCUCGUUGGUGGGGGAAAGGGCUACCAAGGCGACGAUCCGUAACUGGGCUGAGAGGAUGAUCAGUCACACUGGAACUGAGACACGGUCCAGACUCCUACGGGAGGCAGCAGUGGGGAAGAUUGGACAAUGGGCGAAAGCCGGAUCCAGCCAUGCCGCGUGUGUGAAGAAGGGCUUCGGAGUGUAAAGCACUUUAAGUUGGGAGGCGGUACCAACAGAAUAAGCACCGGCUAACUUCGUGCCAGCAGCCGCGGUAAUAC
rnacentral:rRNA from 1 species